GGAAGAGAAGGAGAAGGGGGAAACCCUAGGUUGAGCAAACCUUAGCCAAAUUCAUCCAUUCCAAAGCCUAAACCACUCCAAAUCUUCCCCUCUUUCACAAUCAAAGCUUGGUUUUGAGUGGGAGUCUUUGUGGAGUGGGAUUUUCCUUGUUUUUUGGGGCGAAAAUUUGGGGUUUUGAGGAGAUUGAAAGUGAUUUCUUCCAUGGGAGCUUAGGAGGUUAACAUCCCUUGGUUGUAUACCCAAUUUUGGAUUGAGCCUUGUGGAUUAACGUUGGAGGACCAACCAUUGGAGGAAGCUAUGAAACUUGAUUAGCUCACUUAAAUUGGUAUUGAUUGUAAAGCUUGGUUGUUGAGAUUGGUGAAGAACAAAGGUUAAACGGAAGCUUUGAGGUAAAGAUGCUGCAGGAGCCACCAGUGGCAAGUGGCCUUAUUUGGAUUAGUAGUGAUACAUGAAGAUGCUGUCUUUUGAGAUUAUACAUGUUAUUUUGUAGUUUACAUGUAUAGGAUUGUUCAUUGAUAGAUGUAUAUCCUGUUUUAUUUGAAUGGACUUAGCCUAUGCUCAUGCCUUUGGUUAUCUCUUUUGUG